rnacentral:rRNA from 1 species
GUACAUGCCUACGACAUAGCAUUAAUGCAUCGGAUCCCAUUAGAACUACGUGAUUAAGUGCACUCGUGCUAGAGUAGUAUUGGGAUAGGUGACCUCCUGGGAAUUCCUAGUGUUUUACAUG